AGUGCAGACCGCCUUAUCGUCCCGCCUUGGCGGGGAGGAAAGUCCGGACACCACAGAGUAGCAUAGCGGGUAACGCCCGUCAUCUCGUUUUUCGGGACGAGAGAGGACAAGUGCAACAGAAAGUAUGUACAGGUAAUGCUGUAGUGAAACCAGGUAAACUCUAUGCGGUGAAAUGCCAUGUAUAUCAGCAGUUAAGGGCUACUCGUUCGUUGCUGAGGGGUAGGCAGAUAGAGCUAAUUGGUAACAAUUAGUCCAGAUAAAUGAUAAGGAUUCCAUCUUAUUGGAAUACAGAAUCCGGCUUACAGGUCUGCAUUUUUU
rnacentral:RNase_P_RNA from 2 species